CAUGUCUUCUAUUUCAAGCCUACGGUUUCUUUUCAUUUUCUUCUUGUUCUUUUCACACCAUUUUAGCCAAAAACCAGCCCUUCACUAAUUUCCAGUCAACAAAUCUUCAUUCUCAUUGUCGUUCACCUUUUUUGACUCUUCUCAUUGCCCUCAUCCUCUUUCUCAUCUCUUUCUCGAUGCCGUUUAGUCCUUUCAAACCACCAACCAUCACACGUUAAAAAGGUUCCCUUAUUUUCCACCGUCCUUGCCGGUCGUUUCCCUGUCGUUUAUGCACCACCACCAUCGCCCCAUCCUUCUCUCUUCCUUGUUCCCUCACUCUCAACCAUCGUCAAAUCCACCGACCUCACCUUUUCCCUCUUCCUCAAAUUGCCAACAAAACCCAAACCCAUUCAACCUCUUUUCCCUUAUUAACCACUUCCAACGCUGGCCCCCCUAGAUUGUAUUCUCCACCCCUUCUUGACCAUCGUUUGAUAUACCCACCUCAAACAUACUACCACCAUUCUAGUCUUCAUCGAUGAUGGCUCUGUCAACCUUCGCCGUCGUCGCCUUACCACUGUACAUCAUGACAAACACGAGAGAUAAAACCAAAGCCACUAUCCCUGCCUUAAAAAGGAGGAAGACGUCGGGUGCGACCUCGUCUUCGAUCCCUACUACAGUCACAAGACACCCAUGUCUCCAAUUUCUUCUAAGUCCAUCUGAGGACCAGUAUCAGCACUUAAAGGAGCGACCUUUGGGUUUGGGUCAUCGCAUCGAUUAGGAGGCCUUGCAGGUGGUCUAUUUAGCUUAUAGAGUUCAGGCUUUGAUCGAUACGACUUCGUGGGAUUGGUUUUUCACUAUCGUAGAGCCUACAUAUGCAAAACUCACACUAGAGUUCUAUUUGAGGUUCUUUCUACAAUAGGCUAUGUCAUGAUAGGCUGAUCAUCACUCUAGCUCUUUUAGACUUGGGGGUACGAGGCGUUAUCUGAGCAUCCUGGGCUUCAGAGUCACCAUUGGACUUUAUUUCGAGGAGUUUAUAAGUACCCCAGAGUUACCAACCUUAUCUAGACACAUCUAUCACUUAGCUCCACUCUUUUGGUUCGAGAUCGCUGAAACUGUGGCACAGUACAACCCGAACUAGUCAAAGGCAACUUGUCUACUUUCGGCCCUGUGUUAUAUUCAUGCCAUUCUGGCCCAUACACUGAUUGGUCGGAGGGAGAGUACGGGGGUUGUUGGUAUGUCUGACACUUAUUUCCUAUAGAGUAUGGAGGCGUACCACCUUAUUGAUGUCGCAUAUUUUGUUGCUCUCAGUUGUCGUCAUUUGUUUGAUCGGAGUAGGAAGGGCCCUUACAUGAUUCGAUUAGUGAGAUACUUCAGGCUUCUUAGUACUUUGAAGCAGACUUCCACAUUCACUGUAACACCCAAAAUCUGAAUAUUUGAUUUGUUUUGUUAAACUCUGUCAAAAUUUAAAUUAUUUGCUCUAGCGGUUAAGUGUUUUAAAUAUGUGCUUGAGGUUGUGUGUUUGAAUCCAUGUGGGAACAUUUUUGCUAAUUUCUUUAUAUGCUGAUCAACUAGUAAAUUUGGAGUUAAAAUUUAACUCUAGCGAAUAUGUUGGAUAAGGAUUAGAUUUUUGGGUUAGUGGGUAGUCAGAUGUUGAUUUAUUUUUAUUUUAUCUUAUUUCCUUUUUGUAAAUUAAUUAGUUUUAACCAAAAUCUUCCCUAAUUCUUUCUAAUAUACACUAUCCCCAUUCUAUUUUCUUUUCUUUUUACUGUUUCUUUUUUCUUGCUUUUCCAAUUUUGUUUUUCAAUCGUUUUAUUUUUUUCUUUCGGUUGGACUCAACUUCUUCUGCUUCUUUGUUAUUUUUCUAUUUCUCAAUUAUAAACUUUUAUCUCUUUGGGUUCUUUUUCCUCUUGUGACCAUCUCCUUGUAAUUGUUUCUUUGCUGUUCACUACUUGGUUUUGCGUUGGCUGCUCGUGGUUAGGAAGUUCUAGUCUGGUAAUCCUCAGACAUAAGCAAGUCGGUGCGAUGGGAACUUGAUUAUUUAUUAUUGUUGCAUAUUUUUAAGCUAUUCAUAUUUAAUUCGGUUGUUCAUGGACUAUUUUUGGACUAUUUUUUAAAGUUUGGGUUUUAUUUUGUUUUUCUCGUUUCUUAAGUAUUUCAACCUAUUUCUUAUGGUAUUUAUUUUAUUCGCAAAACCAUGGUUUUCCAACAACAAGUUGCAUUUUACAAUAUUGAACUAAAUUAAGAAUUUCGUUGCAAACUUAAAUGUUUUAAAAGCAUAAAUAAUCAACAGUUUCAUCAAACUAGUUAAGAAAGAUAUUUUUUCUUAUAAACUGUAUUUUUACUUAGCAAGAGCAAGUGUCAUUUUUACAAGUCAAACAGACUCUAGGUUUUCAAAUUAGUUGUGAUAACUUCUCCAAAUCUGGCCAUAAUAUCUAGACCGAGUUUGGGGUGUUACAUUUACAUUCACAAUCUGGCCAUAAUAUCUAGACCGCGUUUGGGGUGUUACAUUCACAUUCACUGAACAGAUGAUCCCAUAUGGAUUAUCUAUUAUGAGUCAUAUGGGUAUGAUCCUACUCCAACACAGAGCGGGUACACAUCGAUAUACAUUAUUCGAUCAGGAUCCCAGGAUGAGCAUGAGGAGCUUCUAAAUGAUGAUCUUUCUCAACACAUAGACCUGACUCGACCCUCUCCUCCGUCAAGUCACUUCAUUGUUGCACAUUUUGUUACACUCGGCAACAUUUACGAGCGGAUUGAUCGCUUUGAGCAGCAACAGUCUGAUCAAAUUGACCUCUUUGAUUGGCGAUAGACAGAGCAAAGAUCACCUCGAGUAGUUACAUUUUGAGCACAUUGGGUAGUAGUCGACACAGAACGACAGCAAUAAGGCGUAUUUGCAGCAGAUAUGCCAAAAUUUUCAUAUUUCUCCACCCAAUGCCGUGCCUCGCGAUUUUGACUUACCACUUUCUGUUGAUCACUGAUUUACAUUAGUUUUUUGUUUUAGUUAUUUUUAUUUUUAUUUUCAAUUAUACUUUUAUUUAGUGUUAGUUGUUUUAUUUUAUUUUUGAGACUUAUAUGUUUUGUUUUUCGUUUAUUUUGCACUAUUAUUUUUGUUAUUUUAUAGGUCGUUAGCUUUUCUAGUUGUUA